rnacentral:rRNA from 1 species
GACGAACGCUGGCGGCGUGCCUAAUACAUGCAAGUUGAGCGCUGAAGGUUGGUACUUGUACCAACUGGAUGAGCAGCGAACGGGUGAGUAACGCGUGGGGAAUCUGCCUUUGAGCGGGGGACAACAUUUGGAAACGAAUGCUAAUACCGCAUAAAAACUUUAAACACAAGUUUUAAGUUUGAAAGAUGCAAUUGCAUCACUCAAAGAUGAUCCCGCGUUGUAUUAGCUAGUUGGUGAGGUAAAGGCUCACCAAGGCGAUGAUACAUAGCCGACCUGAGAGGGUGAUCGGCCACAUUGGGACUGAGACACGGCCCAAACUUCUACGGGAGGCAGCAGUAGGGAAUCUUCGGCAAUGGGCGAAAGGCUGACCGAGCAACGCCGCGUGAGUGAAGAAGGUUUUCGGAUCGUAAAACUCUGUUGGUAGAGAAGAACGUUGGUGAGAGUGGAAAGCUCAUCAAGUGACGGUAACUACCCAGAAAGGGACGGCUAACUACGUG